rnacentral:rRNA from 1 species
ACCAGACUCCUACGGGAGGCAGCAGUGAGGAAUAUUGGUCAAUGGGCGGAAGCCUGAACCAGCCAAGUCGCGUGAGGGAAGAAGGCCCUGCGGGUCGCAGACCUCUUUGGACGGGGAGCAAGGCCGCCGACGUGUCGGCGGAAGGAGAGUACCCGUAGAACAAGCUCCGGCUAACUACGUGCCAGCAGCCGCGGUAAUACGUAGGGAGCAAGCGUUGUCCGGAAUUACUGGGUGUAAAGGGAGCGUAGGCGGGAUGGCAAGUUGGGUGUUAAAUCUACCGGCUCAACUGGUAGUCGCGCUCAAAACUGCUAUUCUUGAGUGAAGUAGAGGCAGGCGGAAUUCCUAGUGUAGCGGUGAAAUGCGUAGAUAUUAGGAGGAACACCAGUGGCGAAGGCGGCCUGCUGGGCUUUUACUGACGCUGAGGCUCGAAAGUGUGGGGAGCAAACAGGA